GACGUAGGGGGCGAGCGUUGUCCGGAUUUAUUGGGCGUAAAGAGCUCGUAGGCGGCUCAGUAAGUCGGAUGUGAAAACUCCAGGCUCAACCUGGAGACGCCAUUCGAUACUGCUGUGGCUAGAGUCCAGUAGGGGAGUGUGGAAUUCCUGGUGUAGCGGUGAAAUGCGCAGAUAUCAGGAAGAACACCCGUGGCGAAGGCGGCUCUCUGGGACGGUACUGACACUGAGACGCGAAAGCGUGGGGAGCGAACAGG
rnacentral:rRNA from 1 species